UACGUAGGGUGCAAGCGUUAAUCGGAAUUACUGGGCGUAAAGCGUGCGCAGGCGGUUAUAUAAGACAGAUGUGAAAUCCCCGGGCUCAACCUGGGAACUGCAUUAGUGACUGUAUAGCUAGAGUGCGGCAGAGGGGGAUGGAAUUCCGCGUGUAGCAGUGAAAUGCGUAGAUAUGCGGAGGAACACCGAUGGCGAAGGCAAUCCCCUGGGCCUGCACUGACGCUCAUGCACGAAAGCGUGGGGAGCAAACAGGAUUAGAUACCCUGGUAGUCCACGCCCUAAACGAUGUCAACUGGUUGUUGGGAAUUUACUUUCUCAGUAACGAAGCUAACGCGUGAAGUUGACCGCCUGGGGAGUACGGCCGCAAGGUUAAAACUCAAAG
rnacentral:rRNA from 1 species